GACGUAGGGUGCGAGCGUUGUCCGGAUUUAUUGGGCGUAAAGAGCUCGUAGGCGGUUUGUCGCGUCUGCUGUGAAAUCCCGAGGCUCAACCUCGGGCCUGCAGUGGGUACGGGCAGACUGGAGUGCGGUAGGGGAGAAUGGAAUUCCUGGUGUAGCGGUGGAAUGCGCAGAUAUCAGGAGGAACACCGAUGGCGAAGGCAGUUCUCUGGGCCGUAACUGACGCUGAGGAGCGAAAGCGUGGGGAGCGAACAGG
rnacentral:rRNA from 1 species